rnacentral:rRNA from 1 species
GACGAACGCUGGCGGCGUGCCUAAUACAUGCAAGUCGAACGAGAGCGACCGGUGCUUGCACUGGUCAAUCUAGUGGCGAACGGGUGAGUAACACGUGGGUAACCUGCCCAUCAGAGGGGGAUAACAUCCGGAAACGGGUGCUAAAACCGCAUAGGUCUUCGAACCGCAUGGUUUGAAGAGGAAAAGAGGCGCAAGCUUCUGCUGAUGGAUGGACCCGCGGUGCAUUAGCUAGUUGGUGAGGUAACGGCUCACCAAGGCCGUGAUGCAUAGCCGACCUGAGAGGGUGAUCGGCCACAUUGGGACUGAGACACGGCCCAAACUCCUACGGGAGGCAGCAGUAGGGAAUCUUCCGCAAUGGACGCAAGUCUGACGGAGCAACGCCGCGUGAGUGAAGAAGGUUUUCGGAUCGUAAAAACUCUGUUGUUAGAGAAAGAAACAAAGUGCUAG